CAGUAGCCGCGGUAAUACGAAGGGGGCUAGCGUUGUUCGGAUUUACUGGGCGUAAAGCGCACGUAGGCGGACUUUUAAGUCAGGGGUGAAAUCCCGGGGCUCAACCCCGGAACUGCCUUUGAUACUGGAAGUCUUGAGUAUGGUAGAGGUGAGUGGAAUUACGAGUGUAGAGGUGAAAUUCGUAGAUAUUCGGAGGAACACCAGUGGCGAAGGCGGCUCACUGGACCAUUACUGACGCUGAGGUGCGAAAGCGUGGGGAGCAAACAGGAUUAGAUACCCCGGUAGUCCCUGUCUCUUAUAC
rnacentral:rRNA from 1 species